rnacentral:rRNA from 1 species
CGUAUCACCCAAGACAACUUUACGGAGUUGACGAUUGACGGAGCGAAGCGACGUCAAAGCGUUCAUUAAAGUCGAGUUGGCUUAGGGAUACGUUCGUUGGGUAGGGGAGCGUUCUGUAAGCCUGUGAAGGUGUGUCGUGAGGCAUGCUGGAGGUAUCAGAAGUGCGAAUGCUGACAUAAGUAACGAUAAAGCGGGUGAAAAGCCCGCUCGCCGGAAGACCAAGGGUUCCUGUCCAACGUUAAUCGGGGCAGGGUGAGUCGACCCCUAAGGCGAGGCCGAAAGGCGUAGUCGAUGGGAAACGGGUUAAUAUUCCCGUACUUGGUGUUACUGCGAAGGGGGGACGGAGAAGGCUAUGUUGGCCGGGCGACGGUUGUCCCGGUUUAAGCGUGUAGGUGUGUGUUCCAGGUAAAUCCGGUUCACUUUAACACUGAGGCGUGACGACGAGGCACUACGGUGCUGAAGCAACAAAUGCCCUGCUUCCAGGAAAAGCCUCUAAGCAUCAGGUAACACGAAAUCGUACCCCAAACCGACACAGGUGGUCAGGUAGAGAAUACCAAGGCGCUUGAGAGAACUCGGGUGAAGGA